rnacentral:lncRNA from 1 species
UACGAUUGAUUCCCUAUACUUGUGGGUCAUCAACCAUCAACAAAGAGAAAGUCAGAGCCAAAUGUGGUGUGAGAGAUGUUGCUAAGAUUCCCAAACAUGUGGAAAUAAUUGCCCCAGAUCUCCUUAUGUUUAGGAUUGGCACUGAGUUGGAUUGUGUGGUGGAAAUGGGAUGGUACAUCAACGAUAAGGACAGGGAAGAUGUGCGACUUGAGAUGGGUGACAAUGGGUUUCAUAAAUAAUCUAGGGAGAAGGCCAGGGUGGAAGAAACUGGGAAAACUAAAGUGACUUUGGUAAGUUUGAACCUAGUGCGGAUAGCGGAAAUUAACAAAACGAAUGAAGAACUUAAAAUAUCCUUAUAAACUACGAUUGGAGAUGCUCCGAAUGAAAUCAACAAUAAUAGGACCAAGAUGGAGAGGAAUAUGGAUAUUAUGUUUAAGAAGAUACAUAAUUUGGAAGAAGUUAAAAUGAGAAAAAAUGCACUAUGAGCAAAGGAAGAAAUGGGAAUGCUGGAAUUGUAAAAAGAUAAAAAGAAGUUAGCGGAAGAAGUUCUUGCACAGGAAAAACUGUUCAACAACUGAUGCAGGAAGCUGCUGAUAGAGAAGCUUAUGGUAUGGAGCUUGCAAAUAUGGAAAGAGAUGAGGUGGAUAAAGAUGCAAAUGUCUUAAAAGAGAACUUUGAGCAUGACAAAUACUAUGAACCAACUGAUUUUAUUGCUAGUCAAGAAUCUCAGAGUUUUGGAGAAAGGAUGGCUACUAUUCAAGGUGUCGGUCUUGAAGAUAUGACUGAAGAAGACAAAUAAGAAAUUUUGAGAAUAAGCAUGAGACACAAGGGGAAGGAAGAUCAAAAAGUGGAGGAC